rnacentral:misc_RNA from 1 species
UAAAGUGUACCAUGCCGGUUUUUUCCAAGUCUGUAAAAGUCAAAAGGCAGUGAAGGAAGCUUUCCGUUUCACCAAGCUUAUCCAGAAUCCAACUCUAAGCACGUUCAAUAUGCUCUUGUCUGUAUGUGCAAGCUCUCGGGAUUUGGAGCGUGCUUUUCAAGUGCUUCAACUUGUUCGUGAGACUGGACUGAAACCCGAUUGCAAGCUCUACACUACUCUUAUAUCAACUUGUGCAAAGGCUGGAAAAGUUGAUACCAUGUUUGAGUUGUAGGUUUUUCAUGAAAUGGUCAAUGCUGGAGUCGAACCAAAUGCUAAUACAUAUGGUGCCCUCAUUGAUGGUUGUGCUAAAGCUGGACAAGUUGCCAAGGCCUUUGGUGCCUAUGGUAUAAUGAGAUCUAAGUAGAAUGUGAAGCCAGAUCGUGUUGUAUUCAAUGCUCUUAUCACAGCUUGUGGUCAAUCGGGAGCAGUCGAUCGUGCUUUUGAUGUCUUAUCAGAAAUGAAAGCAGAAGCACGACCAAUAGAACCUGAUCAGAUUACUAUUGGGGCUUUGAUGAAGGCAUGUGCGAAUUCUGGUCAGGUUGAUCGAG